rnacentral:rRNA from 1 species
AUACGGAGGGUGCAAGCGUUAUCCGGAUUUAUUGGGUUUAAAGGGUCCGUAGGCGGACUUAUAAGUCAGUGGUGAAAUCCUGUCGCUUAACGAUAGAACUGCCAUUGAUACUGUAAGUCUUGAGUAUAUUUGAGGUAGCUGGAAUAAGUAGUGUAGCGGUGAAAUGCAUAGAUAUUACUUAGAACACCAAUUGCGAAGGCAGGUUACCAAGAUAUAACUGACGCUGAGGGACGAAAGCGUGGGGAGCGAACAGGAUUAGAUACCCUGGUAGUCCACGCUGUAAACGAUGCUAACUCGUUUUUGGUACUUCGGUAUCAGAGACCAAGCGAAAGUGAUAAGUUAGCCACCUGGGGAGUACGCUCGCAAGAGUGAA